UUCUGGCUCAGGAUGAACGCUAGCGGCAGGCUUAACACAUGCAAGUCGCGGGGCAGCGCGGGUAGCAAUACCUGGCGGCGACCGGCGGAAGGGUGCGUAACGCGUGAGCAACAUGCCCGUCUCAGGGGGAUAACCGAUGGAAACGUCGCCUAAUACCCCGUAACAACAGUUAUCGCAUGAUGAUUGUUUGAAAGCUCCGGCGGAGACGGAUUGGCUCGCGUGACAUUAGCUAGUUGGCGGGGUAACGGCCCACCAAGGCUACGAUGUCUAGGGGUUCUGAGAGGAAGGUCCCCCACACUGGAACUGAGACACGGUCCAGACUCCUACGGGAGGCAGCAGUGAGGAAUAUUGGUCAAUGGGCGGAAGCCUGAACCAGCCAUGCCGCGUGCAGGAAUGAGGCCCCCUAUGGGUCGUAAACUGCUUUUGCUGCGGAGCAAUAAGGUGUACGUGUGCACCGAUGAGAGUACGCAGCGAAUAAGCAUCGGCUAACUCCGUGCCAGCAGCCGC
rnacentral:rRNA from 1 species